UGAAGAGUACGAUGGCAUCUAUUUGGACAAUAUUUUCUGUGAUUUUUGCUUUUCUGGGAAUCUGUUAUUCCAUAAAGCCAAAUUGCCCGAAUAAUAAAAUACAUCAAUGUGUUCCAGCGCCUUAUUGCCCGCGAGACUUAAAUUCAACCACUACUUAUAGGUGCUCCAAUAAAGGUGAAGUUUGUUGUAAAGAGGAAAAGGUAAUCUUUGGAGUACGGUACACUGGAAAUAAAUACGUUCCUGGACCAUAUAUGCAGGGCGGCUAAGCUAACAAAGAAAUCGUCUCUGUGAAAGUUACUAUGUGAACACUAUACACUAUAACACUAUAUAAAAUUUAA